rnacentral:rRNA from 1 species
ACGGAAUAGAUACCCGGGUAGUCCCAGCCGUAAACGAUGCUCGCUAGGUGUCAGGCAUGGCGCGACCGUGUCUGGUGCCGCAGGGAAGCCGUGAAGCGAGCCACCUGGGAAGUACGGCCGCAAGGCUGAAACUUAAAGGAAUUGGCGGGGGAGCACAACAACGGGUGGAGCCUGCGGUUUAAUUGGACUCAACGCCGGACAACUCACCGGGGGCGGACAGCAAUAUGUAGGCCAGGCUGAAGACCUUGCCUGAAUCGCUGAGAGGAGGUGCAUGGCCGUCGCCAGUUCGUACUGUGAAGCAUCCUGUUAAGUCAGGCAACGAGCGAGACCCGUGCCCACUGUUACCAGCAUGUCCUCCGGGACGAUGGGUACUCUGUGGGGACCGCCGAUGUUAAACUCGGAGGAAGGUGCGGGCCACGGUAGGUCAGUAUGCCCCGGAAUCUCCCGGGCUACACGCGGGCUACAAUGGAUGGGACAAUGGGUCCCUCCCUGAAAACGGUCUGGUAAUCUCACAAACCCGAUUCGUAGUUCGGAUCGAGGGCUGUAACUC